rnacentral:lncRNA from 1 species
GAUGGGCUGGGGUGACGUACUGGGUGAUAAAAAUAGAAAUGUCGAAGAGGUGGUGACAUAUUGGGUGACCCAAAUAGGAAGUCCCAAAUUAAACUGACGUCACCAGUCACCAGAAUGGUAAGAGCUCAAUAAAAUAAAAUUUCUGUACGUUGUUGAAUCUGACUGAUUCCACAACAAAUAUAAUCUGGAUUGAUCUAUUCUAGUCUUUGAUCUAAUAUAGCUUUCUAUCUUCAAUUAAUAUCUACAAACAUUACUCACGUCUCAACAAAAGUAUAUAUAUACCUUGUCCUUAAGUUUCUGGCUUUAUGCAAUCAGUGUGUACUGUCUUUCUUCAAGUCUAAU